GGGUGGUAUUUAAGGGGCGGGGAAGGGCUACCUGCCCUCUUUGCCCGCCAGACGCCGACGUGUGUCGAGCCGCGGGGAGGAUGGCGGCAGAAAGUGUCCCGAGGUGUCGGUGGGGCUUUGGGGAGCUCCUGAAGGCUGCAGUGUGCCCCGUGUGGGUGGGAGGCUGAGCGCCAUGGGCCCCCAGGGCUGGGGUCUGGAGUCGCCCCUUCAAAUACCUGUAGGGGACACUUAGAAAUUUCAUGUUUGAAAUGGUCUGGAUAGGGAUGACCACACCCAAAUUGGAGGCAGUGCUCAGAACUACUUAAGAAUGAAUAAUACCUUCUGGUAAGAAGAGUUUUCAAGUGUGAUGGUACUGCUUGACCACCUAGAAUGCACUUCGUGAGCUUGUGUGAUAAACAACUUGAGUCAAGAGUUGCUUCUAAAUUGAUUGCUCUUCAGAGAGCCAGUGUGUGCAAGGGAUUAGAACUGAUACUAAACAUCAGUUUAUGAUUUGCUGAGUGGAUGACUGCUGACUUCACCCAAGAUGACUCCAGUUGUCCUCUGUGAUGUGUUGUCUUGAAAGUGGAACUGAGAUAAGCAAUGGCUACAGCUACACAUCUUCAGUGGUUGUUCAAACAAUCUAGCUAUUAGUUGAAACUGAAGUUUCUUAAAGUUUUGUAACUUAUUUGUCUGUGUAUUAAUUGAAAUAAAACAAAGAUGGUACCAGAA